rnacentral:lncRNA from 1 species
GCGAGUUAGGGUGCCUUCGUACACCUUCCCUGUGGUCUCGCCGGCCGCCUUCAUAAUCUGCACCACCUUCAUCUUCGACGAUGUGCUUGCUCUGGCGAUCUCCAAUCACUUGGUCGCCUGAGUUUACAUCUGGCGACUUCAUCUUUAACCCGGUGAUCGCCGGUUCUGGUAUACUGGAGAUCGGAGCACGCCAACUUCAUAACUGGCGACUUCAC